UACGUAGGGUGCGAGCGUUGUCCGGAUUUACUGGGCGUAAAGAGCGCGCAGGCGGUCGUUCAAGUCGCGUGUGAAAGCCCCCGGCUCAACUGGGGAGGGUCACGCGAUACUGAUCGACUCGAAGGCAGGAGAGGGUAGUGGAAUUCCCGGUGUAGUGGUGAAAUGCGUAGAUAUCGGGAGGAACACCAGUGGCGAAGGCGACUACCUGGCCUGUUCUUGACGCUGAGGCGCGAAAGCUAGGGGAGCAAACGGG
rnacentral:rRNA from 1 species